CCUACGGGGGGCUGCAGUGGGGAAUUUUGGACAAUGGGGGCAACCCUGAUCCAGCCAUGCCGCGUGAGUGAAGAAGGCCUUCGGGUUGUAAAGCUCUUUCGGCCGGGAAGAAAUCGCUCAAGCUAAUACCUUGGUUGGAUGACGGUACCGGAAGACGAAGCACCGGCUAACUACGUGCCAGCAGCCGCGGUAAUACGUCGGGUGCGAGCGUUAAUCGGAGUUACUGGAGGCAAAGCCAUAAGACAGGGGGGAAAUCCCCGGGCUUAACCUGGGAACUGCGUUUGUGACUGUGGUGCUCGAGUGCGGCAGAGGGGGGUGGAAUUCCACGUGUAGCAGUGAAAUGCGUAGAGAUGUGGAGGAACACCGAUGGCGAAGGCAGCCCCCUGGGUCGACACUGACGCUCAUGCACGAAAGCGUGGGGAGCAAACAGGAUUAGAUACCCUGGUAGUC
rnacentral:rRNA from 1 species